rnacentral:rRNA from 1 species
UUGAACGCUGGCGGCAUGCCUAACACAUGCAAGUCGAACGGCAGCACAGCAGUAGCAAUACUGUGGGUGGCGAGUGGCGGACGGGUGAGGAAUACGUCGGAAUCUGCCCAGUCGUGGGGAUAACUAGCCGAAAGGUUAGCUAAUACCGCAUACGACCGAGAGGUGAAAGCGGGGACCGCAAGGCCUCGCGCGAUUGGAUGAGCCGACGUCGGAUUAGCUAGUUGGCGGGGUAAAGGCCCACCAAGGCGACGAUCCGUAGCUGGUCUGAGAGGAUGAUCAGCCACACUGGAACUGAGACACGGUCCAGACUCCUACGGAGGCAGCAGUGGGGAAUAUUGGACAAUGGGCGCAAGCCUGAUCCAGCAAUGCCGCGUGUGUGAAGAAGGCCUUCGGGUUGUAAAGCACUUUUAUCAGGAACGAAAAGCGUUGGAUUAAUACUCUGACGUGCUGACGGUACCUGUGGAAUAAGCACCGGCUAACUUCGUG